UUAACUACAAAUGGUUCUGUAAUGCUUGC
rnacentral:piRNA from 1 species